rnacentral:misc_RNA from 1 species
GGAAGGAUCAUUAACAAAUCUGCGCGGAGGUGGAUUCUCAUAGAGUUUACCUUUUGCACAUUCACUCUGGACGCACUCUGGUGCGUCUGGCAGUACGCGUAGUUGUGAGCUGUGGUUUUGGCCAUGGUGAACGCUACGCACAUAAGCUCGAAUGUUUGUAUGACUGUAUGUAUUUGGCUAUAAUUAUAUACAACUUUUAACAAUGGAUCUCUUGGCUCUUGCAACGAUGAAGAACGCAGUGAAAUGCGAAAACUAAUGCGAUUUGCAUGAAUCUGUGAGUCAUCAAGUUUUUGAACGCACCUUGCACUCUCUGCGUAAGUAGAGAGUAUACCUGUUUGAGAAUCGUAAUCAAAUCUCAACUCGAUCGAGUUGGAGUUGGCCUCAGCGGGGAUUACUCUCGCUCUGGCUGAAAUGUAGCAGGAUUUGGCUAGGCGGGGGCGCCUGGACAUUGUGUGAUGGAGACACGGUUGUUGUCUACUCACAAUGGGUCUAGGCGAGAGAUACCGGCCUAGUCACGACUGACUAUGGUGUGGUGUAGUAGUGUAUGUAAGUUUUACGCUUACCUACACCUACGCCCACAACUCUCUUCUUUGAUCUCAAAUCAGGUAAGGCUACCCGCUGAACUUAAGCAUAUCAGUAAGCGGAGGAAAAGAAACUAACAAGGAUUCCCCUAGUAACGGCGAGUGAAGCGGGAAAAGCUCAAAUUUAAAAUCUGGGAGGCUUCCUCUCCGAAUUGUAAACUAAAGAGGCGCUAUCUGAUUAGGCUUUGGUGUUCAAGUCCCUUGGAAUAGGGCAUCACAGAGGGUGAGAAUCCCGUCUGGGCAUUAGAGUCUAAGCUUAAUGAGGCGUCUUCUACGAGUCGAGUUGUUUGGGAAUGCAGCUCAAAAUGGGAGGUAAACUUCUUCUAAGGCUAAAUAAUGGCAAGAGACCGAUAGCGAACAAGUACCGUGAGGGAAAGAUGAAAAGCACCUUGAAAAGGGAGUUAAAUAGUGCGUGAAAUUGUUAAAAGGGAAACGAUUGAGACCAGUAUUGCGAUUGUAGCUCGGUAGUGUCUUUGCGGAUGCUGCUUACUCUACAAUUUGCGAGUCAACAUCAGUUUGGUCUGCCGGACAACCGUUAGAGGAAGGUGGUGUCGGCCUUAGGGUUGGCAUUUUAUAGACUCUAGCAGGCACGGUGGGCUAGACUGAGGUGAGCAGUUUGAUUCUCCGUCUGUUAAACCAGUGUUCCCAAGGUUGUGGACAGCAUGCUGACCCGACCUGCAAGGCACUGACUAGGCAGACGCGUCAGAUUUCUGGAUGUUGACGAAAUGGUCUUAAACGACCCGUCUUGAAACACGGACCAAGGAGUCUAACAUAUAUGCGAGUAUUUGGGUGGCAAACCCGAGUGCGCAAUGAAAGUGAUCAGAUGGGAACCAUCAUAAGUGGUGGUGCACCAUCGGCCGACCUUGAUAUCUCUUGAUAGGUUUGAGUAAGAGCAUAUCUGUUGGGACCCGAAAGGUGGUGAACUAUGCCUGGAUAGGAUGAAGCCAGAGGAAACUCUGGUGGAGGUCCGUAGCCGUUCUGACGUGCAAAUCGAUGGUCAAAUCUGGGUAUAGGGGCGAAAGACUAAUCGAACCACCUAGUAGCUGGUUCCCUC